AAGUCGUAACAAGGUUUCCGUAGGUGAACCUGCGGAAGGAUCAUUAUUGAAUUAGUGAGGGCUGUCUGCUGGCCCCUUCGGGGGCAUGUGCACGUCCGAGCCGUUUAAAUCAACACCUGUGAACUCACCGUAGGCCUUCGGGCUUAUGUAUCAUAUAUAUAUAUACUCAGAUCAUAGAAUGUACAUUUUGCCUUUAAAAAAGCAAUCAAAUACAACUUUCAACAACGGAUCUCUUGGCUCUC
rnacentral:misc_RNA from 1 species